UGGCUCAGAUUGAACGCUGGCGGCAGGCCUAACACAUGCAAGUCGAGCGGUAGCACAAGGAGCUUGCUCCUGGGUGACGAGCGGCGGACGGGUGAGUAAUGUCUGGGAAACUGCCCGAUGGAGGGGGAUAACUACUGGAAACGGUAGCUAAUACCGCAUAACGUCUUCGGACCAAAGUGGGGGACCUUCGGGCCUCACACCAUCGGAUGUGCCCAGAUGGGAUUAGCUAGUAGGUGAGGUAAUGGCUCACCUAGGCGACGAUCCCUAGCUGGUUUGAGAGGAUGACCAGCCACACUGGAACUGAGACACGGUCCAGACUCCUACGGGAGGCAGCAGUGGGGAAUAUUGCACAAUGGGCGCAAGCCUGAUGCAGCCAUGCCGCGUGUGUGAAGAAGGCCUUCGGGUUGUAAAGCACUUUCAGCGAGGAGGAAGGGUUCGGUGUUAAUAGCACUGUUCANUGACGUACUCGCAG
rnacentral:rRNA from 1 species